rnacentral:tRNA from 1 species
GCCCUCUUAGCACAAUGGAUAGUGCAGGAGUCUUCUAAACUUCUAAUAUAGGUUCAAUUCCUAUAGAGGGUA